GACGAACGCUGGCGGCGUGCUUAACACAUGCAAGUCGAACGGUAAGGCCCUUCGGGGUACACGAGUGGCGAACGGGUGAGUAACACGUGGGUGAUCUGCCCUGCACUUCGGGAUAAGCCUGGGAAACUGGGUCUAAUACCGGAUAGGACCACUGCCUGCAUGGGUGGUGGUGGAAAGCUUUUGCGGUGUGGGAUGGGCCCGCGGCCUAUCAGCUUGUUGGUGGGGUGAUGGCCUACCAAGGCGACGACGGGUAGCCGGCCUGAGAGGGUGACCGGCCGCACUGGGACUGGGAUACGGCCCAGACUCCUACGGGAGGCAGCAGUGGGGAAUAUUGCACAAUGGGCGCAAGCCUGAUGCAGCGACGCCGCGUGAGGGAUGACGGCCUUCGGGUUGUAAACCUCUUUCAGCACCGACGAAGCGCAAGUGACGGUAGGUGCAGAAGAAGGACCGGCCAACUACGUGCCAGCAGCCGCGGUAA
rnacentral:rRNA from 1 species